GAUGAAGAACGUAGUGAAAUGCGAUACUUGGUGUGAAUUGCAGAAUCCCGUGAACCAUCGAGUCUUUGAACGCAAGUUGCGCCUCAAGCCAUUAGGUUGAGGGCACGUCUGCCUGGGCGUCACAUAUCGUUGCCUGAUGCCAGUUUCCUCGUGAUGGGUGACUGUGCAGGGCGAAUGAUGGCUUCCCGUGAGCACUGUUGCCUCAUGGUUGGUUGAAAAUUGAGUCCUUGGUAGGGAGCGCCGUGAUAGAUGGUGGUUGAGUGACGAACGAGACCCAAUCAUGUGAGACCCCUACCGAAUUUGGCCUUCAUGACCCACAUGCGUCUUUGGAACGCUCAUGACGAGACCUCAGGUCAGGCGGGGCUACCCGCUGAGUUUAAGCAUAUCAAUAAGCGGAGGA
rnacentral:misc_RNA from 1 species